rnacentral:rRNA from 1 species
AACGUAGGUACCGAGCGUUAUCCGGAUUUACUGGGCGUAAAGCGCGUUCAGGCGGUUUGGCAAGUCGGGCAUGAAAUCUCUCGGCUCAACCGGGAGAGGUUGUCCGAUACUGCUGGACUUGAGGGCAGUAGAGGGUGGUGGAAUUCCGGGUGUAGUGGUGAAAUGCGUAGAUAUCCGGAGGAACACCAGUGGCGAAAGCGACUUUCUGGGGCAUUCCUGACGCUGAGGUUCGAAAGCUCGGGGAGCAAACAGG